GGCGGGCGGAGGAAGUAUCCACACGCAGCGUGGCGGAGGCGGAGGUCGGUGGCGGCGGCGCCCCUGUGAUCAUCGAGGAACCGACGGAGGAGAUCGUGCGCCGAAACGACCCCCUGACGCUCAACUGCAAGGCCACGGGCGUCCCCCACCCCAAGAUACGGUGGUACAGGACAGACUCAGAGACGCCGCUGCGGAGUCGCGACGGGAAGCUGCAACUGCCAGAUGGCUCCCUCUUCUUCUACCGGGUGCGUGGUCGAGAUGCUGGCACUUACUACUGCGCGGCGCAUAACUCCUUAGGCACUGCCACCUCCAGGAGGGUCGCCGUCCAGAUGGCU